rnacentral:rRNA from 1 species
CCUACGGGAGGCAGCAGUGAGGAAUAUUGGUCAAUGGACGAGAGUCUGAACCAGCCAAGUAGCGUGAAGGAUGACUGCCCUAUGGGUUGUAAACUUCUUUUAUAAAGGAAUAAAACGAGGCACGUGUGCCUUUUUGCAUGUACUUUAUGAAUAAGGAUCGGCUAACUCCGUGCCAGCAGCCGCGGUAAUACGGAGGAUCCGAGCGUUAUCCGGAUUUCUUGGGUUUAAGGGGAGCGUAGAUGGGUUGUUAAGUCAGUUGUGAAAGUUUGCGGCUCAACCGUAAAAUUGCAAUUGAUACUGGCAGUCUUGAGUACAGUUGAGGUAGGCGGAAUUCGUGGUGUAGCGGUGAAAUGCUUAGAUAUCACGAAGAACCCCGAUUGCGAAGGCAGCUUACUAAACUGUGACUGACAUUGAUGCUCGAAAGUGUGGGUAUCAAACAGGAUUAGAUACCCCUGUAGUC